GAUUGCUACUGUAAAAAUGCCCUGCACGGAGGCUGUAGCCAAUUCCACUCAAGUGAAAGGAUGUUUGUUUAUUCCUGGCCUCACUGAAAAUUACCAAGCUCUUUAUCUCGUUUUUUGUCUAGCAGAAGCUAAGAAAAGAGCUUAUUUUGUGACUGCAUCCGGACCUUGAGUUCUUUGGCUCUUGUGUGAGUGGAUGGUGACACCAGGCCAGCUGGGGAUUCUUCCCAGGCUGGGCUCACAGGCUGGGGCUGGGCACACGGAGCAGCUGCGGGAAAAGGAUCUGGACACCAGCCCCCCAGCGUGUCACCGGCAGGAAGGUGAGGUGGGAACAGAGUGACGUCCAUGCAUGUUCAGGACUAAGCCAGUGGAUCACAAACAUCCUGGAGAGCAGUGACUCUGUGAUUCCAUCACAAGAAUAUGAAGGACUGAGAAGAUCUCCAGCUCUGCCCAUUGCACCUUCCCAUUGAGAAGCAGCAUGGCACCCUGGUGGCAGGGGCUGAUACUCAGCCGGGCCAGGGUGCUCUCCUGUUAACCAUAACCAAGCUCACAGGACAUGGGAUGAGCCCACUGUGUGACACAGGGAGCGGGACACAGUCUGUUAAGUCUUGCACAGCCAUGCUCUGCCACGCAGGCAGGCCUUUCCUUGGCCUCCCUCUCCCUGUUCGUGCUCAUGUGAACAUCCACCUACGUGGAUAGACUGGGCUUUGGUUCAUUAUUGCUCUGUGAAUUCCUCGAACUUCCGCAUCUGCCCAACCUCCCCCACCCCAUUGUUUUCAUUGUGUUUCACCAAAUGGAAAUUCUAGAGUAAGCAUGUGAGUCCUCUCCCAAACUUGUUCACUGUUGAGAGUGCUAAAAUGCUAACCCCAGAUGCUAACUGAGGGGUAGGGUUACCUUAUCUUUAGAGCACUGCGAAUUGUAUGUUAAGUGGAACUUAAUGAAAAAAUAGUUAAUUGACCAACAUGAAUAUCCCCUGAACAGAAUCUCCCCUGAACAGAAUCCUACAAUGAAACUAAGGGAGAUAAAUAAAGCUGUUUACCUGAAAGCUCUCUCUAAUCAAGAUCCUUUGAAAUUUAUAAAACAUGGUCAAUAUUUGCACUGGACUUUGUAAAAAUAAAGCUUGAUAAGAGAAGAGUUUGAAGUGAAAUGCUGCCACUUUCUAUGCAAUAUUUGAUUUAAAUUUAAUUCCUAGAAACCUCAGAUGAAUGUGGUUCAUGUAUCAAAGCACUCAGCAUUAUUUAUCGCGGCCUUAAAUACACAGUGAGCUUACAUGUGAAUGAAUACAUAUAUUAUGUAUCUCUCUCUAUAUAUAUACUAUAUAGAUAAUAUAGUAUAUAUAUAUAUAUAGUGUAUAUAUACACUAUAUAUAUCGUGUAUACAUAUACUAUCUAUAUAGUAUAUAUGUAUAUGGUAUAUAUAUCUAUCUAUAGAUAGAUAGAUAGAUAUACUUAAAAAAACCCCAUUCCCUUAAGAGCAGUUAAGGGACACCAUAUAUCAAAUUUCUUGGCACGUUGUGAAUAUUAAUAUCCCCAAAGUGUCAAUGUCAAAUGAUUUGACUUGAAAUCACUAAGCUUGGUAAUCUCACUAUUUUUAAACAAGGCCUAACAUCUUUUAAUCUUGAAUACCAGCAAGUUCUCAGACUUCAGUUGUUUAUUUUCUCUUUUCUUUCCUUUAAAAAAUUCUGACAAGCUCUUUUCCUUGACACAAAGAAAGCGUAUAAAUUUUAUUUUGGUUUGAACAACAGAAAUUUGCCUCUCAGAAUUCUGGAGAUUGGAAAGUCUAAGGACUAAGCUGCUGGCCAAUUUAGUUCUUAGUGAGGACUCUCUUCCUGGCUUGUAGAUGGCUGCCUUCUCACUGCAUCCUCAGAGAGAGAGAGAGAGAGGGCUCUUGUGUCUCUUCCUUUCUCAUAAAGCGUCAGCUCUCUUGUAUUAGGGUCCCACCCAUAAUUACCCCCUUAUAUGCCCCAUCUACAAAUAGAGUCACAUUGUGGGUUAGAGCUUGGCAGUGAAUAAUUAUGGAGGUUAUUGUUGGCUUUAGAAUUUCGUGGUAGAAACAAUAAAUUGCCUUUGUGUUUACGUUUUAUUUUAUUUUUUUAACAUUAACAUGUAUUUGCAACAAUGAAAACAGCAGGUGAAUACAUUCUGGGUAGGGGAAAAAGUUAGAGGAGUGCUAUCCAGAAGUUAUAUUUCCUAGGAAUAUGGGGAAUAAAACAUUCAAUAUUGGUGGUUCUAAUAGAUGAAUUAAAUUUAAUUUGAUGUGGAGUGGCCAUGUCCCCUGUCUCGGGAUGCCGUGUGAAGCCUGGCUCUUGUGACAGCUGUUUAGAUUUGCUGAAAGAUGUUUUAAGUGUCCUAGGAAAGAGGUUUCCAUUCAUUCUAGAACUGAUAGUUUUCUCUUAAAGUGUUAAUUUACAUUUUAAUGUUGAUGUGGUAUCCAUCUCAGGUUAAUGUUUGGCACUAGGUAAUUGAAUUUUUAAAAAUCUCAUUUUAUUUUCUGUCUGCUUUUGGGAGAGAGAAGUGGUUAGGUUUUUAUUACAGGAAGGAUUUUUCUCUUUCUCUAUUAUAAUACCUGAAAGCAAAUAUAUAUAAGCUAUACAUGAAGUCAUUACAAUUCUUUUUUCUCAUUUUAUUUUCACUUUUGGGAAAGAUUGCUGCCAAUAUUUGUGAGAUCUCUUUUCAGUUCUAUCUUUUACUUCUGCAUGUCCGUUAUCUUAGCCAUGCAAUGUUUAGUUUGAGGCAGUUUCACCCAAGGGACAUACCUUAGAAUAGACUCUCAUGGCCAGUAAUGAAUGACUGAUGGAGGGAACAGCAGUUUAUAGGUUUUUUGUUGUUUUUAAGGAGAAAAAUUAACACCCUUCAUCAAACCUCCUCUUUCUUCCUUCUCUCCUCCCCUCCAUCUCACCCUGCCUCCCCUUGGGAUCUUACUCCUGUGAUUAGUUUGGGUUCCACACAAAGAAAGAUUUAUUACUUUAAUGUCUUUGUGAUUUAGUUUUAUGUGAUCUUCCUAGGGACACCAGGGAGUACACGCUCCCCUUUCUGAAUAUGUUGUAAGCUCCUUUGAGGCAAAAAUGAAUGUUCCUGUGUUACAAGAACAGAGCAGCCCUUAUCAUCUUCUCGAAUCUUAUCUUUCUGAGUUAAACAUUUGGCAUCAGUGACGAAGUAAGACCAGACAUUGAGGAUGAGACGUCAAAUCCAAGUUUGUAGAAAACACACAGUUGAUGCAUCUCACAUCUCUCAAAUUCUUCUCUGUGGACUCUAUGCUUACUGUUCCUGAAGAUGUUCACCAAAUGGGACCAAACCUCCAAAAAAGGAGAAUUUUAAUUUCUUCUUACCCUACUUAGAUGCUGGAUUGCAUAAUGUGGUUGUAAUCUUUAACUAUUUUUUUAAAAAAUAUUUGAGAUUAAAAAAUACUUAGAGGGGCAAUAGUUAGGGCAGGGGAGUGUUCAGUCCCUUUAUGAAGAUGUUUUUUGGCUGGGCUAGCACCUCGGCCUUGUGUUGAAGGAGUGAGAAGUAACUUGUACCACCGGCCACAGCUCUAGCUUGUGUUGGAAGUUUUGCAGAGUUGUUGAUCCUCUGCCAAGUAGACCAGUGAUUCCACCUAAAUGGAUAGAAUCUUCAACUCGGAGGCACCAGUCUCUCUCACUUGAGGAAAGAAUGCGAAGGAAGGAAUGGCCUGACUUCCUCAUGUGUGCCCUGUUUCUCGGUAGGCACCAUGUGGGGGCUGCCACACAUGUGCCGAAGCUUUGGGAACGUUCCGUUUAAAUACCAAUUUCGAUGCCAAUGCCUAACAUGGAGCACAAAUAUCCAGGUUUCCAACUUCAGCCGUUGGUUCCUCAGCCUUCUACGCCUUCCACUGGAACCCAAGGCUCUUUGGUCAAUGGGCAGCCCGAGUGUUUGGGCUGCUUAGCUUUCAGAGGGAUGUGCUGCUGAUGUCUGUCCUUUUUAAAGAGAGCUAGAGCUGAAACCUUACUGGGAACUGGAAGAUGGAAACACAGCGGUGAGCCUGGAGCAGGGCGACGCCAGCCUGGAGGCCCUCUCUUCCUGCCCACAACCUCACCUCCUCACAUCUACACUGCACACUUGCACCGGCCUUCUUUCUGCUUCUUGGGACCACAGACUGAGAAGGGACCCCCAGUCCUGCUAGCUCCUUGCUUGGUCUCAGGGUGAAGACGAGUCCCGAGUUUGAGUCCAGCCUCAAAUCUGCUGACCUUGGAUAAGUCACUUCUCACCGCUUGGGGCUUUGGUUUCCUGAAUAGAUUGAGUUAAAAUCUUUGUGGGUUUUUAACAUUAAAAAAAAAAGUGGAACUUGUUUUUCAAAUAAAAUGUUACACGAAAACUUAAUACUAAAAGCAGAAUAAGCUGGAUUUGCUCCCGUAUUCUGGGUGCCUCCAAGUAUCCCCUCCCCCUCUUAUCCAUCCUUGUGUACCCCCUGCCACCUAGCAGCCCCCUUCCCAGUUCAUCAGGGGCCAUUGGAGGGAAAGGCUUGGGAAGUACAACUCUACAGAGUUCACGCUAAGGAAGAACCUUGCAGGAAAUGCUUUUAAACGUAAACCAGCAACAUCUAGCUUCUCCUGUGUAGAGAGCUGCCCAGACCCCACCACCAACUGCUAAUUCUGAUUUUUCUCCGCUGGACAUUGGCUUUCUUAAUAAAUGUUUGGAUUUUUAAAAUCUACCAUUUUUGAAAAAAAUAAGCAUUUCCGCAUAGAAAUCAGACCUUGUCUGCGAGCCGGAGAUGUCCUCCGCGUAUUCCCGGUGACAACGAUGUGGCCUGUGAGCCUGCAUGGGGCUGAAUGGUUCUGUGAUUUCCUAGCACGGAACAGAACUAGUGAAUGCCGCUGUGUUUGGGGCUAGGAUGCUCAGAGGCCAUCCCCUCUCCUCCACAGAGGCUCGACUACUCGAAAUGCAUUGCUUCUGAGCCUAAUAUGUGUCACAAUUUCACCUUCAAAGGCCAAGCAUCCAGAAGCAGGAGAAUAAAGAUGUUUAGUAAGUGCAGCACAUCGAUUCCUCUUCAUCUGGAGCUGCUUAGGAGCCACCAAGAUUGUUACUCCUGCUCUCAUUAUGAAUGCAUUAGCAUUGAACUUAAUAGGAGGGUCCCCCAGAGAAAGUUAAGAAGCCUGCCUCAGAGGCCACUGCAGGGAGACGUGUGGGGCCCAUGCUCUGGGCAUCGCUGCAUAAAGGAGACUGCACCUGCUCUGACCCCUUCCCCAAGACGUUCAGUUGCUCAGUCAGAAAGUCAAGGAUGAAAAGUGUGUGUCUCUGGCUGGGUGUGGUGGCUCACACCUGUAAUCCCAGCACUUUGGGAGGCCAAAGAGGGUGGAUCACUUGAGGUCAGGAGUUCAAGACCAGCCUGUCCAACAUGGCAAAACCCCAUCUUUACUAAAAAUAUGAAAAUUAGCCAGGUGGUGUGGUG
rnacentral:lncRNA from 1 species